GCGGGAAUAGCUCAGCUGGUAGAGCAUCACCUUGCCAAGGUGAGGGUCGCGGGUUCGAGUCCCGUUUCCCGCUCCA
rnacentral:tRNA from 1 species